rnacentral:rRNA from 1 species
GACGAACGCUGGCGGCGUGCUUAACACAUGCAAGUCGAACGAAGUGGCGAACGGGUGAGUAACGCGUAAUCAACCUGCCCUUCAGAGGGGGACAACAGUUGGAAACGACUGCUAAUACCGCAUACGGAAGGAGGGGCUUGCGUCUGAUUAGGCAGUUGGAGGGGUAACGGCCCUCCAAGGCGAUGAUCAGUAGCCGGUCUUAGAGGUGGAGCGGCCACGAUGGGAGUGAGACACGGCCCAGACUGCGACGGGAGGCAGCAGUGGGGAAUCUACCGCAAUGGACGAAAGACUGACGGAGCAACGACGCGUGAGUGAUGACGGCCUUCGGGUUGUAAAGAUCUUUUAAUCGGGACGCGGUACCGGAAUAGAAAGCCACGGCUAACUACGGGCCAGCAGCCGCGGUAAUAC